UUCAACGUUAUUUGCCGGCUGGGUUAUAAAUUCUUGAUAUUUUAAAGAAGUUGCUUUUGUUUUGUAGAUCUGUGGUGCAACAAUUAAUUUGCCGACCACUUCAUUUUCAUACAUUAACGGGUGCCCCAAGAAGUCUUUACGCCCUUAUCAGAGAGCGCCGCGGAAGAGCAUUAGAUUGAAAGUUAAUAUCUUCUUCCUAACGAUGUCAGAAAAUUUGCCCAGAGGUAGGAUUCGAACCAUGGAUUAUUUGUUUCUGAGGCAAGUGCGCUACCACUGCGCAACGGCGUCUUUAAAUGUGAAAAAAUCCUCAUAAAAUUUAUUUCUUUAACUGAAUAUUUGUGCAUGCGUUGAUUUUCACUCGCAAAAAAGUCAAGCUUUAGAAAAAGAUUUGGCAACAUUAAAUACAUACUUUAUUUCUUUACCUCUUAAUUAUUUACUAUACAUUUUGAGUUUAAUAAAAAGAAUUUAAAAA